rnacentral:tRNA from 1 species
GCCUCUAUAGCUCAGUUGGUAGAGCAACUGAUUUGUAAUCAGUAGGUCCCGGGUUCGAUUCCUGGUGGGGGCACCA